rnacentral:rRNA from 1 species
GGGUUGUGAGGUUAAGCGACUAAGCGUACACGGUGGAUGUCCUGGCAGUCAGAGGCGAUGAAGGACGUGCUAAUCUGCGAUAAGCGUCGGUAAGGUGAUAUGAACCGUUAUAACCGGCGAUUUCCGAAUGGGGAAACCCAGUGUGAUUCGUCACACUAUCAUUAACUGAAUCCAUAGGUUAAUGAGGCGAACCGGGGGAACUGAAACAUCUAAGUACCCCGAGGAAAAGAAAUCAACCGAGAUUCCCCCAGUAGCGGCGAGCGAACGGGGAGCAGCCCAGAGCCUGAAUCAGUGUGUGUGUUAGUGGAAGCGUCUGGAAAGGCGCGCGAUACAGGGUGACAGCCCCGUACACAAAAAUGCACAUGCUGUGAGCUCGAUGAGUAGGGCGGGACACGUGGUAUCCUGUCUGAAUAUGGGGGGACCAUCCUCCAAGGCUAAAUACUCCUGACUGACCGAUAGUGAACCAGUACCGUGAGGGAAAGGCGAAAAGAACCCCGGCGAGGGGAGUGAAAAAGAACCUGAAACCGUGUACGUACAAGCAGUGGGAGCACGCUUAGGCGUGUGACUGCGUACCUUUUGUAUAAUGGGUCAGCGACUUAUAUUCUGUAGCAAGGUUAACCGAAUAGGGGAGCCGAAGGGAAACCGAGUCUUAACUGGGCGUUAAGUUGCAGGGUAUAGACCCGAAACCCGGUGAUCUAGCCAUGGGCAGGUUGAAGGUUGGGUAACACUAACUGGAGGACCGAACCGACUAAUGUUGAAAAAUUAGCGGAUGACUUGUGGCUGGGGGUGAAAGGCCAAUCAAACCGGGAGAUAGCUGGUUCUCCCCGAAAGCUAUUUAGGUAGCGCCUCGUGAAUUCAUCUCCGGGGGUAGAGCACUGUUUCGGCAAGGGGGUCAUCCCGACUUACCAACCCGAUGCAAACUGCGAAUACCGGAGAAUGUUAUCACGGGAGACACACGGCGGGUGCUAACGUCCGUCGUGAAGAGGGAAACAACCCAGACCGCCAGCUAAGGUCCCAAAGUCAUGGUUAAGUGGGAAACGAUGUGGGAAGGCCCAGACAGCCAGGAUGUUGGCUUAGAAGCAGCCAUCAUUUAAAGAAAGCGUAAUAGCUCACUGGUCGAGUCGGCCUGCGCGGAAGAUGUAACGGGGCUAAACCAUGCACCGAAGCUGCGGCAGCGACGCUGAUGCGUUGUUGGGUAGGGGAGCGUUCUGUAAGCCUGUGAAGGUGUGCUGUGAGGCAUGCUGGAGGUAUCAGAAGUGCGAAUGCUGACAUAAGUAACGAUAAAGCGGGUGAAAAGCCCGCUCGCCGGAAGACCAAGGGUUCCUGUCCAACGUUAAUCGGGGCAGGGUGAGUCGACCCCUAAGGCGAGGCCGAAAGGCGUAGUCGAUGGGAAACAGGUUAAUAUUCCUGUACUUGGUGUUACUGCGAAGGGGGGACGGAGAAGGCUAUGUUGGCCGGGCGACGGUUGUCCCGGUUUAAGCGUGUAGGCUGGUUUUCCAGGCAAAUCCGGAAAAUCAAGGCUGAGGCGUGAUGACGAGGCACUACGGUGCUGAAGCAACAAAUGCCCUGCUUCCAGGAAAAGCCUCUAAGCAUCAGGUAACAUCAAAUCGUACCCCAAACCGACACAGGUGGUCAGGUAGAGAAUACCAAGGCGCUUGAGAGAACUCGGGUGAAGGAACUAGGCAAAAUGGUGCCGUAACUUCGGGAGAAGGCACGCUGAUAUGUAGGUGAAGCGACUUGCUCGUGGAGCUGAAAUCAGUCGAAGAUACCAGCUGGCUGCAACUGUUUAUUAAAAACACAGCACUGUGCAAACACGAAAGUGGACGUAUACGGUGUGACGCCUGCCCGGUGCCGGAAGGUUAAUUGAUGGGGUCAGCGCAAGCGAAGCUCUUGAUCGAAGCCCCGGUAAACGGCGGCCGUAACUAUAACGGUCCUAAGGUAGCGAAAUUCCUUGUCGGGUAAGUUCCGACCUGCACGAAUGGCGUAAUGAUGGCCAGGCUGUCUCCACCCGAGACUCAGUGAAAUUGAACUCGCUGUGAAGAUGCAGUGUACCCGCGGCAAGACGGAAAGACCCCGUGAACCUUUACUAUAGCUUGACACUGAACAUUGAGCCUUGAUGUGUAGGAUAGGUGGGAGGCUUUGAAGUGUGGACGCCAGUCUGCAUGGAGCCGGCCUUGAAAUACCACCCUUUAAUGUUUGAUGUUCUAACGUUGACCCGUAAUCCGGGUUGCGGACAGUGUCUGGUGGGUAGUUUGACUGGGGCGGUCUCCUCCUAAAGAGUAACGGAGGAGCACGAAGGUUGGCUAAUCCUGGUCGGACAUCAGGAGGUUAGUGCAAUGGCAUAAGCCAGCUUGACUGCGAGCGUGACGGCGCGAGCAGGUGCGAAAGCAGGUCAUAGUGAUCCGGUGGUUCUGAAUGGAAGGGCCAUCGCUCAACGGAUAAAAGGUACUCCGGGGAUAACAGGCUGAUACCGCCCAAGAGUUCAUAUCGACGGCGGUGUUUGGCACCUCGAUGUCGGCUCAUCACAUCCUGGGGCUGAAGUAGGUCCCAAGGGUAUGGCUGUUCGCCAUUUAAAGUGGUACGCGAGCUGGGUUUAGAACGUCGUGAGACAGUUCGGUCCCUAUCUGCCGUGGGCGCUGGAGAACUGAGGGGGGCUGCUCCUAGUACGAGAGGACCGGAGUGGACGCAUCACUGGUGUUCGGGUUGUCAUGCCAAUGGCACUGCCCGGUAGCUAAAUGCGGAAGAGAUAAGUGCUGAAAGCAUCUAAGCACGAAACUUGCCCCGAGAUGAGUUCUCCCUGACUCCUUGAGAGUCCUGAAGGAACGUUGAAGACGACGACGUUGAUAGGCCGGGUGUGUAAGCGCAGCGAUGCGUUGAGCUAACCGGUACUAAUGAACCGUGAGGCUUAACCUUACAACGCCGAAGCUGUU